GGGUGUGAUCAUUCUAGCACUAAUGCACCGGAUCCCAUCAGAACUCCGCAAUUAAUCGUGCUUGGACGAGAGUAGUACUAGGAUGGGUGACCUCCUGGGAAGUCCUCGUGUUGCACCCC
rfam:Corchorus capsularis cultivar CVL-1 contig06638, whole genome shotgun sequence.